UUUUGCAGGUGGUGCAAUCAAACUGAUGUCUGAAGCACACAGUAGCUGACAACUGCAUUGAAACUACCAUUAGUUUUGACUAUGAAGGCUCUAUUGCGCUUUUCAUUUUUAAGUAUCGCCUUGCAGAACCUGUGGUCUGGAAAUUUCCCCGGGAUGAAUGUUUACGCCAGUAAUUGCGAGCAUAGACAGCUGCUCAAGAGACAAGUGGUGGACAGCUUGC
rnacentral:lncRNA from 1 species